UCUCCGUUGGUGAACCAGCGGAGGGAUCAUUACCGAGUUUACAACUCCCAAACCCAAUGUGAACCAUACCAAACUGUUGCCUCGGCGGGGUCACGCCCCGGGUGCGUCGCAGCCCCGGAACCAGGCGCCCGCCGGAGGGACCAACCAAACUCUUUCUGUAGUCCCCUCGCGGACGUUAUUUUUACAGCUCUGAGCAAAAAUUCAAAUGAAUCAAAACUUUCAACAACGGAUCUCUUGGUUCUG
rnacentral:misc_RNA from 1 species